UUUUUUUUUUUUUUUUUUUUUUUUUUUUCAAAUAAUCACAACUAAUAUAUUACAAAUUUUAUAUCUUUUAAAAAGGCAAUGCAUGCAUCACAUAUUAUUCGUGCAUUUAUCUUGUAGUUUAAGUUCAUCAGAAAUUUACCACAGAAUAUUAGUCGACCUAUCACAUAUUUGAUUGGUACUGACAAAAAGGUUUCAAAAUACUCAUCCCAGCAUACAAAAUAAUAAAUGUGUUGUUUUUAUUUUGUCUUUCUUGAUUUUUUUGUCAAGUUAUGCUUAUAUGAAUCAAAAGUUGUCCUUUUGAAAUACACUGAAGUACCAGAAAUGUAAUGAAAUGAUUUUGUUGUGGUUUGUGAAAUGUAGGCCUCAAAGUGUGUAAAAGUUUACUGUUGCAAUUAUAAAAAAAAAUAACAUCAAACACAUUAAUAUAAGUUACAAAGGUACUUAUGCAAAUCCCCAUAACUUUAUAGUCAGAUAUACAAUGUGACUAUUUCCACUCCAAGUAAUAACUAAACUAAAUGUGUCUGGAUUUUUUUAGUAUGUUAUUUAGCAUGAGGGGAAAAAAACUAAAGUGGAGAAAAAUUUUUCAAGAUCAUUGUUAUUUAUUCAGAACGUACUUGACCAUUAUAAAGUAUGUUUCAAUUAUAAUGGUCCAAUCAUAUGUUUCAUGAUUGGCAAUCGGUUGC